rnacentral:rRNA from 1 species
GAUUAGAUACCCUGGUAGUCCACGCCCUAAACGAUGUCUACUAGUUGUCGGGUCUUAAUUGACUUGGUAACGCAGCUAACGCGUGAAGUAGACCGCCUGGGGAGUACGGUCGCAAGAUUAAAACUCAAAGGAAUUGACGGGGACCCGCACAAGCGGUGGAUGAUGUGGAUUAAUUCGAUGCAACGCGAAAAACCUUACCUACCCUUGACAUGUACAGAAUCCCGAAGAGAUUUGGGAGUGUUCGAAAGAAAACUGUAACACAGGUGCUGCAUGGCUGUCGUCAGCUCGUGUCGUGAGAUGUUGGGUUAAGUCCCGCAACGAGCGCAACCCUUGUCAUUAGUUGCUACGAAAGGGCACUCUAAUGAGACUGCCGGUGACAAACCGGAGGAAGGUGGGGAUGACGUCAAGUCCUCAUGGCCCUUAUGGGUAGGGCUUCACACGUCAUACAAUGGUACAUACAGAGGGCCGCCAACCCGCGAGGGGGAGCUAAUCCCAGAAAGUGUAUCGUAGUCCGGAUUGUAGUCUGCAACUCGACUACAUGAAGUUGGAAUCGCUAGUAAUCGCGGAUCAGCAUGUCGCGGUGAAUACGUUCCCGGGUCUUGUACACACCGCCCGUCACACCAUGGGAGCGGGUUUUACCAGAAGUAGGU